rnacentral:lncRNA from 1 species
UUAUUAGUUUUGUCAAAUUAUAGUUAGUUCUAUAAUUUGUAAAAUAAAUUCGUCAUUUAGUCGGCUUGUGAGGGAACAUCUUUUGUACUAAUAUAGAGUAGUCUUUUAUGCAUGUAAUUAAUUAAGAAUCUUCUCUUUUAUUUUUAGAGACGAACUUCAUAUAGAGCAGCCUUUUAAGCAUGUAAUUGAUUAGGAAUUUUCUCUUUUAUUUUUAGAGACGAACUUAAAUAGAAAAAUGUAGUCACUCUAGGAUUACCCUUUAAAAUAAAUG